CAGUCGCCGCGGUAAUACGUAGGUGGCAAGCGUUGUCCGGAAUUAUUGGGCGUAAAGGGCUCGCAGGCGGUUUCUUAAGUCUGAUGUGAAAGCCCCCGGCUCAACCGGGGAGGGUCAUUGGAAACUGGGAAACUUGAGUGCAGAAGAGUAGAGUGGAAUUCCACGUGUAGCGGUGAAAUGCGUAGAGAUGUGGAGGAACACCAGUGGCGAAGGCGACUCUCUGGUCUGUAACUGACGCUGAGGAGCGAAAGCGUGGGGAGCGAACAGGAUUAGAUACCCCCGUAGUCCCUGUCUCUUAUAC
rnacentral:rRNA from 1 species